UACGAAGGGGGCUAGCGUUGCUCGGAAUCACUGGGCGUAAAGCGCACGUAGGCGGAUGUGUCAGUCAGGGGUGAAAUCCCGGAGCUCAACUUCGGAACUGCCUUUGAUACAGCACGUCUUGAGUCCGAUAGAGGUGGGUGGAAUUCCUAGUGUAGAGGUGAAAUUCGUAGAUAUUAGGAAGAACACCGGUGGCGAAGGCGGCCCACUGGGAUCGGUACUGACGCUGAGGUGC
rnacentral:rRNA from 1 species